UAGGGAAUCUUCCGCAAUGGGCGAAAGCCUGACGGAGCAACGCCGCGUGAGUGAAGAAGGAUUUCGGUUCGUAAAGCUCUGUUGUUAGGGAAGAAUGGAUAUGUAGUAACUAUACAUGUACGAGACGGUACCUAACCAGAAAGCCACGGCUAACUACGUGCCAGCAGCCGCGGUAAUACGUAGGUGGCAAGCGUUGUCCGGAAUUAUUGGGCGUAAAGCGCGCGCAGGUGGUUUAAUAAGUCUGAUGUGAAAGCCCACGGCUCAACCGUGGAGGGUCAUUGGAAACUGUUAAACUUGAGUGCAGGAGAGAAAAGUGGAAUUCCUAGUGUAGCGGUGAAAUGCGUAGAGAUUAGGAGGAACACCAGUGGCGAAGGCGGCUUUUUGGCCUGUAACUGACACUGAGGCGCGAAAGCGUGGGGAGCAAACAGGAUUAGAUACCCUGGUAGUCCACGCCGUAAACGAUGAGUGCUAAGUGNUGGUCUCAUAAGAGAUCAGUGCUGCAGCUAACGCAUUAAGCACUCCGCCUGGGGAGUACGACCGCAAGGNUG
rnacentral:rRNA from 1 species